GACAGAGGAUGCAAGCGUUAUCCGGAAUUACUGGGCGUAAAGGGCGCGUAGGCGGCCUGCUAAGUCGAACGUGAAAUCCCUGGGCUCAACCCAGGAACUGCGUCCGAUACUGGUUGGCUUGAAUCCGGGAGAGGGAUGUGGAAUUCCAGGUGUAGCGGUGAAAUGCGUAGAUAUCUGGAGGAACACCGAUGGCGAAGGCAGGUCUCUGGGCAUUAACUGACGCUGAGGAGCGAAAGCAUGGGGAGCGAACAGG
rnacentral:rRNA from 1 species